UGAGGAAUAUUGGUCAAUGGCCGGAAGGCUGAACCAGCCAAGCCGCGUGGAGGAAGAAGGUGCUACGCAUUGUAAACUCCUUUUGUCAGGGAAUAAAAGACGUGUCGCGCACACGUUCUGCAGGUACCUGAAGAAAAAGCAUCGGCUAACUCCGUGCCAGCAGCCGCGGUAAUACGGAGGAUGCGAGCGUUAUCCGGAUUCAUUGGGUUUAAAGGGUGCGUAGGCGGCGUGUUAAGUCAGCGGUAAAAGCCCGGGGCUCAACCCCGGCGAGCCGUUGAUACUGGCAUGCUUGAGUUGGAGAGAGGUAUGCGGAAUGCGCAGUGUAGCGGUGAAAUGCUUAGAUAUUGCGCAGAACUCCGAUUGCGAAGGCAGCAUACUGGCUCCACACUGACGCUGAGGCACGAAAGCGUGGGUAUCGAACAGG
rnacentral:rRNA from 1 species